rnacentral:piRNA from 1 species
UGCGAAGAAGCUUGCCAGGCAUCCUACCGU